UACAGAGGGUGCGAGCGUUGUUCGGAAUUAUUGGGCGUAAAGGGCGCGUAGGCGGUGCCACAAGUCACUUGUGAAAUCCCCAGGCUUAACCUGGGGCCUGCAGGCGAAACUGUGGUGCUGGAGUGUGGGAGAGGUGCGUGGAAUUCCCGGUGUAGCGGUGAAAUGCGCAGAUAUCAGGAGGAACACCGGUGGCGAAGGCGGAUCUCUGGGCCUUACCUGACGCUCAGGCGCGAAAGCUAGGGGAGCGAACUGG
rnacentral:rRNA from 1 species